AUUGAACGCUGGCGGAAUGCUUUACACAUGCAAGUCGAACGGCAGCACGGACUUCGGUCUGGUGGCGAGUGGCGAACGGGUGAGUAAUGUAUCGGAACGUGCCCAGUCGUGGGGGAUAACGUAGUGAAAAUUACGCUAAUACCGCAUACGAUCUAUGGAUGAAAGCGGGGGAUCGCAAGACCUCGCGCGAUUGGAGCGGCCGAUAUCAGAUUAGGUAGUUGGUGGGGUAAAGGCCCACCAAGCCAACGAUCUGUAGCUGGUCUGAGAGGACGACCAGCCACACUGGAACUGAGACACGGUCCAGACUCCUCCGGGAGGCAGCAGUGGGGAAUUUUGGACGAUGGGCGAAAGCCGGAUCCAGUCAUUCCGCGUGCAGGAUGAAGGCCCUCGGGUUGUAAACUGCUUUUGUACAGAACGAAAAGGUUUCUACUAAUACUAGGAGCUCAUGACGGUACUGUAAGAAUAAGCACCGGCUAACUACGUGCCAGCCGCCGCAGUAA
rnacentral:rRNA from 1 species